rnacentral:rRNA from 1 species
GACGAACCGUGCGAACGUUGUUCGGAAUCACUGGGCUUAAAGGGCGCGUAGGCGGGCGGUCAAGUCAGAGGUGAAAGCCCACGGCUCAACCGUGGAAGUGCCCCUGAUACUGAUCGUCUCGAGGGAGGUAGGGGCGUGCGGAACUUCCGGUGGAGCGGUGAAAUGCGUAGAUAUCGGAAGGAACACCGAUGGCGAAAGCAGCGCGCUGGAUCUCUUCUGACGCUGAGGCGCGAAAGCCAGGGGAGCAAACGGG